rnacentral:rRNA from 1 species
GGUAGUACGGGCGUGGUUGCCGGUGUCGUAACGUACGUUUUGAAGAACGGGCCAGAGAGUUUAUUCUGCAGGCGAAGGUUAACCCAAAAGGGGAGCCGAAGGGAAACCAACAUGUCCGUAGCGCUUGCAUGGGACGACGUAUUAAAAGUGCGUGGAGUCUGCAGGAUAAGACCCGAAGCCUAGCGAUCUAUGCGUGGGCAGGUUGAAGCGUGCCGAAAGGCGCGUGGAGGACCGCAAGCGGUUUUGAUAUGCAAAUCAUUCGCGUGACCUGCGUAUAGGAGUGAAAGAUUAAUCGAGCUGGGCAUCUGCUGGUUCCUCUCGAAACAUGCCGUAGCAUGACCUGGCCGGAGAUAGACGGUGAGGUAGAGCACUGAUUGGGGGAGCUGGGGGAGAAAUCCCUCACCCUCCUGUCAAACUCCAAAUUCCCCGUCGUCGAAGAUGGCUGGCAGUCCGGACUACGGGGUAAGCUUGUAGUCCGUAAGGGAGACAACCCAGACCGUGGUUAAUGUCCCUCAAUGUAGGCUAAGUGUCAACACUGAAAGGCGUCCCAGGCCAAAGACAACUGGAAGGUGAGCUCAGAAGCAGCUAUCCUUUAAAAAGUGCGUAACAGCUUACCAGUCGAGGUUUGGGGCACUGAAAAUGGACGGGGCUAAAGCCUACUACAGAUACCACGGACCACACGUUUGUGUGAUGGCGUAGAGAGGCGUGCUGCUUGGGUCGAAGCAGGGGCGUGAGCUCCUGUGGACCGGGUAGUAAUGAGAAUUCUGGCAUUAGUAGAAGCAAAGUUGGGUGAGAAUCCCAACCGCCGGAGGGGCUAGGUUUCCUCGGCAAUGUUCGUCAGCCGAGGGUUAGUCGGUCCUAAGGUGUGUCGUAAUUCGAGCACAUCAACAGGGAAACAGGUUAAUAUUCCUGUACCAUUCAUCCGCAGCGUUAGUUCGCCCUGACGCUUCGGGAUAUGCCUGACAGGGUCGUCGCCCUGUCCAAGCGUUCAAGCUCGUGGAGUACCGCCAUGGUGAGAAGCGAGUGAAGGCGUGAUGGGGUAACCAGGCAAAUUCCUGGAGCCCGUGAAAAGGGGGAUGAAUGACCGUACCGAGAUCUGACACAGGUGCCCCUAGCUGAAGAGGCUAAGGCGUGUCGGUUUAAUCGUGUUAAGGGAACUCGGCAAAUUGGCCCCGUAACUUUGGGAUAAGGGGUGCCUGCCUGGCGAUCAGGCAGGUCGCAGUGACCAGGGGGCUCUGACUGUCUAAUAACAACAUAGGUGACUGCAACUCGGAAACGAUUAGUAUAGUCACUGAUUCCUGCCCAGUGCGAGUAUCUGAAUACCGGGUUCAACCGGACGAAGGACUCGUAAACGGCGGGGGUAACUAUGACCCUCUUAAGGUAGCGUAGUACCUUGUCGCUUAAUUGGCGACUUGCAUGAAUGGAUUAACAAGAGCCCUACUGUCCCUAACACGAAUCCGUUGAACAUUUCAUCCUAGUGCAGAGACUAGGGACUCCAGAUGGGAAGUGAAGACCCCGUGGAGCUUUACUGCAGCCUGUCGCUGUGUUACGGUAUUCCUUGCGCAGCGUAGAUGGGAGGCGUCGAACCAUCCCCUCCGGGGGGUGGGGAGCCACCAAUGAGACACCAUCCUUGGUUUACUGUAACACUAACUCAAACUUGAGGACAACGGUAGGUAGGCAGUUUGGGUGGGGCGCCACACCCUCGAAAAAAUAUCAAGGGUGCCCUAUGGUCAACUCAUGUGAGUCAGAAACUCACAGGAGAGUGUCAAGAGCAUAAGUUGGCCUGACGCGAUUACGCAAAGCAAGUAAUCGCGAGAGGAAACUCGGGUCUAACGAACCAAUGAGCCUUAUUGAUGAGGGCCAUUGACGACAGAAAAGCUACCCCGGGGAUAACAGAGUCGUCGCCGGCAAGAGCACAUAUCGACCCGGCGGCUUGCUACCUCGAUGUCGGUUCUUUCCAUCCUGGCCGUGCAGCAGCGGCCAAGGGUGAGGUUGUUCGCCUAUUAAAGGGGAUCGUGAGCUGGGUUUAGACCGUCGUGAGACAGGUCGGUUACUAUCUAUCUGGAGUGUUUGGAGUCUGAAGGUAAGAUGGAAAUAGUACGAGAGGAACUUUCCGUCGUCGCCUCUGGUCGAUCGGUUGUCCGACAGGGCAAUGCCGAGCAGCUACGCGAUAAGGGAUAAAAGCUGAAAGCAUCUAAGCUUGAAGCCUGACCUGAAAAGAGACUCCGUUGAGGACAUGGGUAAAAGACCCGCUUGAUAGGUCCGGGAUGUAAGCAUGAAGGCAACGACAUGUUCAGUCCGCGGAUACUAACGUCCGAUGCCUUCCGCU